UNUGACUUGAGUGCAGAAGGGGAGAGUGGAAUNCCAUGUGUAGCGGUGAAAUGCGUAGAUAUAUGGAGGAACACCAGUGGCGAAAGCGGCUCUCUGGUCUGUCACUGACGCUGAGGCUCGAAAGCGUGGGUAGCGAACAGGAUUAGAUACCCUGGUAGUCCACGCCGUAAACGAUGAGUGCUAGGUGUUAGGCCCUUUCCGGGGCUUAGUGCCGGAGCUAACGCAACAAGCACUCCGCCUGGGGAGUACGACCGCAAGGUUGAAACUCAAAGGAAUUGACGGGGGCCCGCACAAGCGGUGGAGCAUGUGGUUUAAUUCGAAGCAACGCGAAGAACCUUACCAGGUCUUGACAUCCCGAUGCUAUUCUUAGAGAUAGGAAGUUACUUCGGUACAUCGGAGACAGGUGGUGCAUGGUUGUCGUCAGCUCGUGUCGUGAGAUGUUGGGUUAAGUCCCGCAACGAGCGCAACCCUUAUUGUUAGUUGCCAUCAUUAAGUUGGGCACUCUAGCGAGACUGCCGGUAAUAAACCGGAGGAAGGUGGGGAUGACGUCAAAUCAUCAUGCCCCUUAUGACCUGGGCUACACACGUGCUACAAUGGUCGGUACAACGAGUUGCGAGCCGGUGACGGCAAGCUAAUCUCUGAAAGCCGAUCUCAGUUCGGAUUGGAGGCUGCAACUCGCCUCCAUGAAGUCGGAAUCGCUAGUAAUCGCGGAUCAGCACGCCGCGGUGAAUACGUUCCCGGGCCUUGUACACACCGCCCGUCACACCACGAGAGUUUGUAACACCCGAAGUCGGUGAGGUANCCUUUUAGGG
rnacentral:rRNA from 1 species